UUGAAAUGAUGAUACCAGUAAUACCAGUUCUGCUACUGAAACCUCAUGUAGAGAACUCUUACCAUUCAUCUCUCAUCGCACUGAAUC
rfam:Perkinsus marinus ATCC 50983 gcontig_1104296587332, whole genome shotgun sequence.